ensembl:misc_RNA 7SK 7SK RNA
GGAUGCGAGGGCAAUCUGGCUGUGACAUCUAUCACUCCACUGAUCCUCAGGGUUGCUGGGCUGAUGUACUGGCUAGGAGGGUGUCCCCUUCCUCCCCCGCUGCUCCAUGUGCGACCCUCCCGAAGUCGGACUGUCUCAGUGUAAGAGGACGAUUACUCCGAUAGAAAGGGACCACUUCCUCAAUCAAGGGUAUAUAUGUAGCUGUGCUCUCCUGCCAGAACCUCAAAGAGUUCUCAAGAGCUUUGGUCUGCUCCCCCGACCCCCACUAAUCACACCCAUAUUGACAUGCACCCCAAGGACCAGGUGUACCUGCCAUUAU